CGGAUGCUGUGACAAGGGGCGGGCGAGGGAGGGCUCCGCGUCAGGGGCAGACAGCUCCAGGUGCUGGAGGCUGCCGCGCGGAGAGGUCCGCCCAGCCAGGAUGUGCGUUGUCCUGAGAAUCGAAUUACCCGGAACCCCAGAGCUCACCCUCUCUGAAGGAGAGCAGGUGCCUCCUGAGAGCAGGGCUUCUCUACCUUGGGGCACUAUGAACAUUCUGAGUGGGUGCCCACUUUGUUCAUCUCUGCUCACUGGGGGAGCCAGGACACGGAUCCAGGUUUUCUGACUCCAGGUCUCAGGCUUGCUCCAUAGCGCCACCUGCUGGUGACGGCAAUCGGUAGGCACCCAAAUCAAGACUCAGAUUUCCUCAUCUCAGAAGUUGUCCACUUCUUCUCCGACCUCCACGGUAACUCGGAACCACACCGUGGAGUUAUCCCUGUGUCCUCUUUCUCGGAAGUUCCACAUCCAACCCCUCAGCAGGUCUCAGCGGCACUCUCACCACCUCCUCUGCUCUGUUCCUGUUUCUCUUGGAUGGUCGAAUGUUUCCUAAGGAGUGUCUGCUGCUUCACGCUUGCCCCCUGGAGUGGCAUCUAAAAGGUGCAGGUCAGAUGAAUCUUUCUUCUGCCAGGGCUCCCGGCUUAGCCAAGGAAAAGCACAAGUCCCUGACCAUAUCCUGCAAAAUUCCACAUCUGGGAACUCAGGCAUAUCAGGCCUGGUCUCUUUUUCUUCUUCCUUUUAAAAUAACGAAUACAUUGACAUGCCCCUUAUUACACCAUGCUGAAAUGAAAUUCAUAGGCAAUAUCACCUAUCUAUAGACACAAUUUACAUAAAUCCAUGUAAGC
rnacentral:lncRNA from 10 species